rnacentral:lncRNA from 10 species
CCGGCUGAAGCUAGACUUCAGUUGGACUCAUCUUCACCUAACUCCUUCCCCUGCCCUAUCCAUCCCUCCCUCCAUUAUAGGUUUUUCCUGAGAGUGCUCCCACCAUUAAUCAGGGGCAGUGAAUUUGCUGUCUCAGGUUCUGCUUCUAAGAUGCCCAGCCAAAGACAGCCCUUCAGUAGGACACAAUGAUGGCUUGACCCAGAGGAAGACACAUGACCCCAACAUAGCUACAGCCUUCUGGAGCAUUGAUAUGGACUCUGGGAAGAAGCAGUUCUGAUAGACGGCAAUGAUGGCAAGUCUGAAGCUGCUGGAAAAUACAUUACUGCCAUGUGGAGAGACUCUGGGUGACAAUAAAGCCUACUCAUAAAAAGGAAAGAAUUAGAACCAAGAGAGGAAGAGAGAGCAAGCAAUAGCUGUGAGCAGUGUCCAAGAACAAGGAUCCUGCUGUUUCUGAAGCAUACUGCUCCCUUGGGUUCUCAUUCAAUUAUGGAACCAACAAAUCCACUCCCCACCACCUUUUUUUGUUUGUUUUUUAACUUUAAAAGGGUAAGAGUUAAGCUUUAUCAUUCCUAAAGGAAAGAGCUUUGACAGCCACAAUACCCUUUUUGUUUUCUCGUCUUUCCUUUGAGUCAUCUUAUUUUCUCCCUACUGAGUUGGAGGUACUCUAUAUAUUCUGGACACUGAUUUUUCUUUUUCCUUUUCUUUUUUUGACACAGGGUCUUGCUCGAUUGCCCAGGCUGGAGUGUUGCCCAGGCUGGAGUGCAGUGACAUGAACACAGCUCACUGCAGUCUCCAUCUCCCAGGCUCAAGCAAUCCUCCUGCCUCAGCUUCUUGAGUAGUGGGAAUUACAGCACACACCAUCAUUUUUAAAUUUUUAAAUUUUUAUAGAUAUGGGGUCUCCCUGUGUUGCCCAGGCUGGUCUCAGACUCCUGGGUUCAAGUGAUCUUCCCACCUUGGCCUCCC